CAGUACUGCAAACUGUUCCAUCUGAAAGAUGAUAAGUGUGUAGAAAAUAUAAUUUGAAUAUUAUUAAUAAAACAAAGAAAAACAUUCUAAACGAGAUGAGAGGGGUUUACGAAAUGCGAAAUGAAUGUCGGUUCAGCCAUUUUUUAUCUACGUUUUAGCAGACAGUACUGUAUAACUGAAAAAUAAUGUGCAUAACCUACAGAAAUUUUCAAUUGGAGCUAUCCAAACAUCAUCGAAGUUUGAUAACAUUUUUGCAGAAAAUUCGCUUAAACUUGAAAGGAUGACUUCGUUGUUCUCGUAUUUCGGCAAUUACAGUAUAUAUAUACAUGUGUAUGUAAUCGAAAUAAAAUUUGUUCAUUAAAUGCGACGGCGGCGCGUAAAAUGUCAUCAUAUUUUAAAUAGGCGUAAUUGUGGUCCGAAUGCAGAGAAAUGCCUGAAUGAACCGAAACUUCUCCAAUCGGCAAAGUAGUUUAUAAGGAAGAAAGGAGCAAAUAUAUUAUCAAGCGUGGAUGUGCUUAUUUCUUUUAUAGUAGAAACAUAAUUCCAGUAAUCGCUUUUAUAUUUGCACGACUAUAUAUAUACAUAUUAUAAAGCCCAGCAAAUUUAAAACAUUAUGCUCCACAAGUAGAUUGAAAUCGCAACGAAAUGGGGCAAAUAUUUCCCAAUGUGGUUGUUAACCUUCAAAAUUAUCUUGUGUAUAGAAUGAGAAUGUACGAAUGGGAUUAAGCAACAAAUGCCAACAUAUAAUAUUUAUAAUUACUGAAUUUUCUAUAAUACUUUAAGUAUCUUUAAUAAAAUUAGCGCAUAAUAAAUG